UACUGAUUCUCAUGACAUGGGGUAAACAAUUUGGUUAUAUGUAGCUGGGGCUCCCUGCACUCAGGCUGAAGCCUCACCUGUGGAGUGAACACACUUGCCCAGGACUGUUUUCCCGAUGAAGAUUCCUGCAUGACUGCAACGGGGGCUUCCAAGUCAAGACUGAAGACAGGAUGAAGCUCUCUCUUUAUCGAUUCUAACACCAAAGUUAAUUGUAGGUGGUCUCGCUGUGUAUAUGGAGUCCGUUUGGCAAAGUGCAUAACACCAGGAGUAAAAGCAAUCAGAGUCAACUCAACAGUAAUUCGGUGGGGAUGGGUUGCUAGUGCACAGAAUAGGACACAAGGUACAUUUGUCUGCCCUGCUGAACAAGGAUGUUCUACUAUUAAUUUGACUUCCAAAAAUAAAUCUAACUAUUAGGAGGGUGAGAAGGGAAUAUCUGUAUGUCCAACUACUGAAUAAAUGCAAAAAUGAUGUGUCAAUUUGUAACCUUGCCAUUGGUAUUCAGACCACCUGUGUAUCCAUUCCAGUAUUGGUUACCCCAUGCAGAAGGAAAUUGUAUCGAUUUCUUGAACAGAACGCACAAACUGGAAAACUGUACUGAAAUGAUGGAUGGAUUUAUUUGUGGACAACAAUCCCCUAUAUAUGAACCAUAUUUUCUUCAACAUUCCAUCAACAUCUGCAAAUGGACUGUAUUACCUCCCAUGUUUGAAAUGUUUGUAGAAAUAGCACUUCAAUUUAUAUGCUUAGUGACAAACCUAACAUUAUUGUAUGUUUUAACGCAUCCUUUUGUAGGUUGUUUAGAUAAUGUAACUCAUUUACAUUGGCACAAUGAAACUUAUGUCUUUUCUCCUGAAACACGUUAAUGUAUUUCAUAUCUGGUUACUAGAGAAGCUGGAAUAUCAUAAUUUGACACUUAGCUUAAAUCUUUUACAGGAAGUGUUGAACAAUAUGCAACAUCUUGAAAAACAUUUACAGGUACUAAAUCAUAGUAUUUUAUAUCAUGAAAUGAAAAGCAUUAUUAUAGGGAAUAAAUUGGAUAGUUUA